rnacentral:lncRNA from 10 species
UCCUGUGUGUGGGUGUGAGUGACACAUGUCCUGUGUGUGGGUGUGUGGACACGUCCUGUGUGUGGGUGUGAGUGACACAUGUCCUAUGUGUGAGUAUGAGUGAGGACACUUGUCCUGUGUGUGGGUGUGAGUGACAUAUGUCCUGUGUGUGGGUGUGUGGACGCAUGUCCUGUGUGUGGGUGUGCGGACGCAUGUCCUGUGUGUGGGAAUGAGUGACACAUGUCCUAUGUGUGUGAGUGAGGACACACGUCCUGUGUGUGGGUGUCUGGACGCAUGUCCUGUGUGUGGGUGUGAGUGACACAUGUCCUGUGUGUGGGUGUCUGGACGCAUGUCCUGUGUGUGGGUGUGAGUGACACAUGUCCUGUGUGUGAGGACACUUGUCCUGUGUGUGGGUGUGAGUGACACAUGUCCUGUUGUGGGUGUGACACAUGUCCUGUGUGUGGGUGUGAAUGAGGACACAUGUCCUGUGUGUGGACACGUCCUGUGUGUGGGUGUGAGUGACACAUGUCCUGUGUGUGGGUGUGUGGACGCAUGUCCUGUGUGUGGGUGUGUGGAUGCAUGACCUGUGUGUGGGUGUGACAUAUGUCCUGUGUGUGGGUGUGAGGACGCAUGUCCUGUGUGUGGGUGUGAAUGAGGACACUUGUCCUGUGUGUGGGUGUGAGGACACAUGUCCUGUGUGUGGACACGUCCUGUGUGUGGGUGUGAGUGACACAUGUCCUGUGUGUGGGUGUGAGGACGCAUGUCCUGUGUGUGGGUGUGUGGACGCAUGUCCUGUGUGUGGGUGUGUGGACACAUGUCCUGUGUGUGGGUGUGUGGACGCAUGUCCUGCGUGUGGGUGUGAGUGUGGACACACGUGCUGUGUGUGGGUGUGAGGACACAUGUCCUGUGUGAGUGACACGUGUCCUGUGUGUGGGUGUGACACAUGUCCUGUGUGUGUGUGAGGACACAUGUCCUGUGUGUGGGUGUGAGUGUGGACACACGUGCUGUGUGUGAGGACACAUGUCCUGUGUGUGGGUGUGAGCGAGGAGACAUGUCCUGUGCAUAUGAUUGAGCAUGGUGUGUGAGCAUAUGUCUGCACAUAAGCAUGCAUGUGGCGUGUGGCCUUGUGCACGCUCGAGUGAGCAUGUAUGGGCAUGAUCGUGAAUAGGUGCUCACAGAUGUGUGUGCGUAUGCGUGUGUGUGUGCCAAUCUGUGCAAGGCAGUGCAUGAGUGAGCUCGUCUGGUGGGCGGCGGGUGCAGAUGCAAACGUGUGCCUGGCACAGGGGUCUGUGAGUCUGGAUGUGACUCCAUAGGAGGAGAGACGUGGGGUGUAGGGGUGGGGGUCACAGUGGGACAGCAGGUCCUGCCAGGCCAUUUGUGAAGCCCGUGCUGUGUCUGCAUGGAGGAAAAGGGAGCCCAGAGCCUGGGGGGCCAGCUCAGCCAAUUCCCACGCUGGGACUCGGGGCUGGCAUGCGGCCCGAACGGAAAAGGAAAAGCAAAUGGCGGAGGCAGGAAAAUGGAGGGCGGCCCGGG